AUUGAACGCUGGCGGCAGGCCUAACACAUGCAAGUCGAGCGAGCGGCGGACGGGUGAGUAAUGCCUGGGAAUUGCACAGUCGAGGGGGAUAACAGAUGGAAACGACUGCUAAUACCGCAUACGAUUGGAUUGCCCAGUGGGGGUUAGCUAGUUGGUGAGGUAAGGGCUCACCAAGGCGACGCUUCCUACCUGGUCUGAGAGGGUGAUCGGCCACACUGGAACUGAGAAACGGUCCAGACUCCUACGGGAGGCAGCAGUUGGGGAUAGUGCACAAUGGGUGAAACCCUGAUGGAGCCAUGCCGCGUGUGUGAAGAAGGCCUUCGGGUUGUAAAGCACUUUCAGCGAGGAGGCGUUACUCGCAGAAGAAGCACCGGCUAACUCCGUGCCAGCAGCCGCGGUAAUUC
rnacentral:rRNA from 1 species